rnacentral:rRNA from 1 species
AAGCACGUAGGUGGGUUUGUAAGUCAGACGUGAAAGCCUUCUGUUCAACAGAAGAAUUGCAUCUGAAACUACAAACCUUGAGUGUAGGAGGGGAGAAUGGAACUUCUGGUGGAGCGGUGAAAUGCGUAGAUAUCAGAAGGAACGCCGGCGGCGAAAGCGAUUCUCUGGCCUAUUACUGACACUCAGUGUGCGAAAGCUAGGGGAGCAAACGGGAUUAGAUACCCCGGUAGUCCUAGCCGUAAACGAUGGGCACUAAGUAGAGGGGUUUU